CCCUUAGAUGUUCUGGGCCGCACGCGCGCUACACUGAAUGGAUCAGCGUGUUUUCCCUUCCCGAGAGGGACGGGUAACCCGCUGAACCCCAUUCGUGGUAGGGAUCGGAGCUUGCAAUUGUUCUCCGUGAACCAGGAAUUCCCAGUAAGCGCAAGUCAUAAGCUUGCGUUGAUUACGUCCCUGCCCUUUGUACACACCGCCCGUCGCUACUACCGAUUGAACGUUUUAGUGAGGUAUUUGGACUGGACCUUUGAAGGUUAAUUCCUUCAUUGUUGUUCGGGAAGACUCCCAAACUUGAGCGUUUAGAGGAAGUAAAAGUCGUAACA
rnacentral:rRNA from 1 species